GUGAGGAAUAUUGCGCAAUGGAGGCAACUCUGACGCAGCCAUGCCGCGUGCAGGAAGAAGGCGCUACGCGUUGUAAACUGCUUUUAACCGGGAAGAAACCCCAGGACGUGUCCUGGGUUGACGGUACCGGAGGAAUAAGCACCGGCUAACUUCGUUCCAGCAGCCGCGGUAAUACGAAGGGUGCAAGCGUUAUCCGGAUUCAUUGGGUUUAAAGGGUGCGUAGGCGGAGCGUUAAGUCAGUGGUGAAAUCCUGCAGCUUAACUGUAGACUUGCCAGUGAUACUGGCGCUCUUGAGUGCGCUUGAAGUGGGCGGAAUGUGCCGUGUAGCGGUGAAAUGCUUAGAUAUGGCACAGAACACCAAUUGCGAAGGCAGCUCACUAAGGCGAUACUGACGCUGAGGCACGAAAGCGUGGGGAUCGAACAGGAUUAGAUACCCCUGUAGUCC
rnacentral:rRNA from 1 species